rnacentral:lncRNA from 1 species
GAUUGAUUGUUUGCUGUGCUGGAUACUGUGUAUUCACUAAUUGUCUGAGUGAUGGGGUUUUUAUAUAGUAUCUGUAACAUGUUGGUGUGGAUUUAAUCUGCAUCUUAACUUCUUAAAGUGCCAAUCAGCAGUAGAAACAAUAACAAAGUGUCUCCCUGCUCCUCUUUGGGUAAAAAGCUGAGGGAUGGGGCUGGAGACAUGUAACCGCUCUCAAAUUCAUAGACAGAGUUAUAGAUGCAAGGACUGACCAUCCAUGAUAUCAACAUUGUUAUCCUGUUUCUAUGAUCUGUUUCCUCUACCAUAUAACACAGUUCGCUCUGGAUGAAGGUGUCUGCUAAAUGGCAUAUAUUAUUAACGUCUACGUUGACUCUGCCAACUAGUUGCUGAGUGCAGUUACCAUUCCUUUCCAAUAAUAGCAGCCAAAGCUUGUUGAAGUCACUACUCUAGCGACAGGGACACCGGGAUUAGUGCGCACUGAAAGUCAACAGAUGUCUGAAACAGCUGUUCUUUGGAUUCAACAUGUUGUCAGGGAUUGCAGGGUGUGUCCUAUUGGUUUUGGCAGUGAUCGCAGCACCAUAUAAUACAGAGCAUGACCAAGGAGAGUCAAUUGGCUUGACAUGGAUUAUAUCGACUGCAGUUGUUUCUGUGCUGCUCUCUUUACUUGGAGCAUAUGGUGCAUACAAAGAGAACAUUGUGAUACUGCGAGUGUUCCUUGGAAUAAUAGGCUUUGGAACAAUCUUCUUUCUUAUUGUUGGAUUUCAAAUGGCUCGUUCAAUGCCUGAGGCCAUGCAACUGAUUAAAGAAAACCUCCCUGCAAUUACAUCAGAAAUGAUGGCUGAUGCGAGCACCGACAAACUAUCAUGGCUCUACAAGUACAAGGUAAGUGUUGUGGAAUAAUGAGUUACAGAGACUGGGAUAGCAAGAUUCCAGAGACCUGUAAAUGUUCUAGUUUCAAGUCAGACCCGUCCCAAUGUAUGGAGGUGCAAACGACUAAAGAUGGCGGCAACUGGGGAAGAUCUGACAAAUCUGAAAUGAUGUGGAUCUACAGAGAGCCCUGUGGUCCUCUCAUCUUGAAGAACUUCGACUCUGCUUUUAAGACCGGACUUGGAUUCUUCUUGGGAUUUGGUGUUUAUUCUGUAUGGAAUUAUUUAUAAUAAUUUUUCUAAUACAUUAUACAUAACAAAUAUUCAACCAAACUCAAUUUAACUCCUUUGUAAUUUUUUUGUUGUUUAUCCCUGAUUUACCCGUCCCUCCCAUGUUUGAUUGAAUUCCAGCCAUACUGUGUUAUGGGUAAUUUAAUUUUGUAACAUCCUUCCCACAGUUGAUUGGGCUAGUGUUAUCCGGCAUGAUGAUUCGUCAGAUCAAGAAGGUGCAGUCUACUGAAGUUCCUGAGACUAUAGACGAUGGAUAUCGUUUCACACCUUAAUUCCAGGCAAUUCGCCAUGUGGAGGGAGUUGUGGGAGUUGUGGGAGUUUAACCGACGACCUUACACCCAUAACCAGGGAUGAGGUCAGAGUUUCAGUUUUGGCAUCCUGGCAAGAGGCGAGGAGUAGAAGGUGCUCGAACAACGUGAGACGAGGUGCAACCAAAAAAAAGAAUAUGAGCGUUCGGAAUGAAAAGGCCCAACUCACUGCUCACCGUUCAUUUCAUUUGUGUAUAACCUUUUCUUUUUUAUCAUAAUAAAGUUUCGUCUGUCCAUGGCUUUUCUGGUCAUUCUGAUGGUCCAUUAAAACGGACAAAACGUCAUGAUUUUAACUGAAAAUAGAUUAGUAACGUAUCAAGCUUUUAACUGAGAACGAGAGUCAUGCCUUUUUUUACCUUUAAAUUCAGGCUAGAAGAGUAAGAAGUGUCCUUAGGAUGACCUUAGUAUGACCUUUAGAGUGAGACAUUAUGAAGCACUGUAAUAGGGAAGUUCUGCUCUAGACGCACUGACAAAAACAAUUAAUGGCUGUGUCCCAAAUGGUACCCUCUUCUCUACUACCCCAUAAGGCUCUGGUCACAAAUAGUGCACUACAUAGGGAAUAGGGUGCCGUUUGGGAAGCAAGCCAACGUAAUAAGGAAGCUCUGCUCUAGCCCCACACUGACAAUAUCAUUCCCUCUUCUGUCUUCUGUCAAUAUGGCUUGUAAUCAGCUUUCUGAGAUGAGCUUUAUUGUUUACAUUGUAAAUCAUGUCUUAUUGUACACAGAUAAAUUGCUAGAUUGUAUUUCCAC